ensembl:misc_RNA predicted gene, 26313
UGAUCUGGUUUUGACAGCUGCCACCCUAUUAAUCACCAGGAUUGAUUUGGCGGGUCUGGUUGACUAGGUGGGCAUCAGUGCUCCCCGCAUGCCCCUCCCAAAGGUGAGUUCUCCAUGGAAGAGAAUAGUCCUUCUCAGUAAAGGAGGGUGGCUUUUUGGUGCAGGGUAUACAAGUAGCUGUGCUCCCCAGUUACAGCCUACAAACAAGCUCUUAAGAUCCAAUGUUAAAAACCUUCAGCCAGACAGGGUGGUGCACAGCUCUAAUCCCAGCACUCAGAAGGCAAAGCCAGGCAGAUCUCUGAGAGUUU